rnacentral:rRNA from 1 species
CCCUUAGAGUUUGAUCCUGGCUCAGGACGAACGCUGGCGGCGUGCUUAACACAUGCAAGUCGAACGAGAUCCAGCCGAGCCUUCGGGCAAAGCGAAGAUCUAGUGGCGAACGGGUGCGUAACACGUGAGAAACCUGCCCCGGACUUGGGAAUAACAGUCGGAAACGGCUGCUAAUACCGAAUACCUUCGGAGCGUCGCAUGGCGCACCGAAGAAAGCUUUUGCGGUUUGGGAGGGUCUCGCGGCCUAUCAGCUAGUUGGCGAGGUAACGGCUCACCAAGGCAUCGACGGGUAGCUGGUCUGAGAGGAUGAUCAGCCACACUGGGACUGAGACACGGCCCAGACUCCUACGGGAGGCAGCAGUGGGGAAUAUUGCACAAUGGGCGAAAGCCUGAUGCAGCAACGCCGCGUGCGGGAAGAAGGCCCUAGGGUUGUAAACCGCUUUCAGCAGGGAAGAAAAUGACGGUACCUGCAGAAGAAGGUGCGGCCAACUACGUGCCAGCAGCCGCGGUGACACGUAGGCACCAAGCGUUGUCCGGAUUUAUUGGGCGUAAAGAGCUCGUAGGCGGUUCAGUAAGUCGGGGUGUGAAAACUCUGGGCUCAACCCAGAGAGGCCACCCGAUACUGCUGUGACUUGAGUACGGUA